UGGGGAAUAUUGGACAAUGGGCGCAAGCCUGAUCCAGCAACGCCGCGUGGAGGACGAAGGUCUUCGGAUCGUAAACUCCUGUCAGACGGGACGAAGGCAACGGGGUAAAUAAUCCUGUUGUUUGACGGUACCGUCAGAGGAAGCCCCGGCUAACUCCGUGCCAGCAGCCGCGGUAAUACGGAGGGGGCGAGCGUUAUUCGGAAUUAUUGGGCGUAAAGGGCGCGUAGGCGGCCUGGCAAGUCAAAGGUGAAAUCCCUCGGCUCAACUGAGGAACUGCCUUUGAAACUGCCAGGCUUGAGGCCGGGAGGGGGUAGCGGAAUUCCCAGUGUAGCGGUGAAAUGCGUAGAUAUUGGGAGGAACACCAGUGGCGAAGGCGGCUACCUGGACCGGUUCUGACGCUGAUGCGCGAAAGCGUGGGUAGCAAACAGGAUUAGAUACCCUGGUAGUCCACGCUGUAAACGAUGGGUGCUCGGUGUCGCGGGUAUCGACCCCUGCGGUGCCUUAGCCAACGCGUUAAGCACCCCGCCUGGGGAGUAC
rnacentral:rRNA from 1 species